GAUCCUGGCUCAGAGUGAACGCUGGCGGCGUGCCUAAUACAUGCAAGUCGAACGAUGAAGCUUCUAGCUUGCUAGAGUGCUGAUUAGUGGCGCACGGGUGAGUAACGCAUAGGUCAUGUGCCUCUUAGUUUGGGAUAGCCAUUGGAAACGAUGAUUAAUACCAGAUACUCCCUAUGGGGGAAAGAUUUAUCGCUAAGAGAUCAGCCUAUGUCCUAUCAG
rnacentral:rRNA from 1 species